rnacentral:rRNA from 1 species
CGGGACACGUGGUAUCCUGUCUGAAUAUGGGGGGACCAUCCUCCAAGGCUAAAUACUCCUGACUGACCGAUAGUGAACCAGUACCGUGAGGGAAAGGCGAAAAGAACCCCGGCGAGGGGAGUGAAAAAGAACCUGAAACCGUGUACGUACAAGCAGUGGGAGCCUCUUUAUGGGGUGACUGCGUACCUUUUGUAUAAUGGGUCAGCGACUUAUAUUCUGUAGCAAGGUUAACCGAAUAGGGGAGCCGAAGGGAAACCGAGUCUUAACUGGGCGUUAAGUUGCAGGGUAUAGACCCGAAACCCGGUGAUCUAGCCAUGGGCAGGUUGAAGGUUGGGUAACACUAACUGGAGGACCGAACCGACUAAUGUUGAAAAAUUAGCGGAUGACUUGUGGCUGGGGGUGAAAGGCCAAUCAAACCGGGAGAUAGCUGGUUCUCCCCGAAAGCUAUUUAGGUAGCGCCUCGUGAAUUCAUCUCCGGGGGUAGAGCACUGUUUCGGCAAGGGGGUCAUCCCGACUUACCAACCCGAUGCAAACUGCGAAUACCGG